rnacentral:rRNA from 1 species
AACGAACGCUGGCGGCAGGCUUAACACAUGCAAGUCGAGCGCACCGCAAGGUGAGCGGCAGACGGGUGAGUAACGCGUGGGAAUCUACCCAACCCUACGGAAUAACCCAGGGAAACUUGGACUAAUACCGUAUACGCCCUUUUGGGGAAAGAUUUAUCGGGGAUGGAUGAGCCCGCGUUGGAUUAGCUAGUUGGUGGGGUAAAGGCCUACCAAGGCGACGAUCCAUAGCUGGUCUGAGAGGAUGAUCAGCCACAUUGGGACUGAGACACGGCCCAAACUCCUACGGGAGGCAGCAGUGGGGAAUAUUGGACAAUGGGCGCAAGCCUGAUCCAGCCAUGCCGCGUGAGUGAUGAAGGCCUUAGGGUUGUAAAGCUCUUUCAGUAGGGAACAUAAUGACGGUACCUACAGAAGAAGCCCCGGCUAACUUCGUG